UCUCAGUUACCAGAAUCAAGAUGGCCGACCAGACAUAAAUAAACGCUCGAUUCACAACUCAUUUUGUCGAUUUUAAAGACAAACUGAAACUUCGUGCUUAGAAAACUGUUCCAUUACGUCCAUAUCAAUAGAAGACAGGAAUACAGAGGCUUUUCAUCAGCGAAAGCCAGCAGAGCCAGUGUGAUGAUAGAACAUAUAACAGGCACAUGAUUAAAGACACCAAGAGCAGUGAGAUUGCUACCAGUGGAAGACCAAGGUUAUAUGACAAAUGUGCCGUCAAGAAAACAUCACAACAUGAACUUCAUGGAGCCGCUAGUGAAUUGUAUGCUGUUUAACAUUGCUGAUUCUGGUUAUUGGUAUAUACAUAAGAAUUGACUUUGAUUUUGAAU